UACAGAGGUGGCAAGCGUUGUUCGGAAUUACUGGGCGUAAAGGGCGCGUAGGUGGCCUUCUUAGUCAGACGUGAAAUCCCCGGGCUUAACUCGGGAACUGCGUCUGAUACUGGAGGGCUUGAGUGUGGGAGAGGGAUGCGGAAUUCCAGGUGUAGCGGUGAAAUGCGUAGAUAUCUGGAGGAACACCGGUGGCGAAGGCGGCAUCCUGGACCAUGACUGACGCUGAGGAGCGAAAGCCAGGGGAGCAAAUGGG
rnacentral:rRNA from 1 species